AUGGGCAGACUGCCGGGAUGGAAGGGCAAAAACCUCGCUAGGCCUGGAAGGGUCUCCCUGGCAAAGUCCGUCUUGUGCGCUAUCGCCACACACCACCUCACUGCGUUCCCCCUCCCGGUUUGGGCAAACCACAAGCUUAGCGAGAUUUCACGAAAUUUCAUUUGGAGUGGCGACAACUUUGAAAACGCGUCUGGGGGACACUCCCUGGUCAACUGGAAGACGGUGUGCAGACCGAAGGCCCUUGGUGGGCUCAGGAUCACGGACCUCGAGAGAUUUGGCAGGGCUCUUCGCCUGCGCUGGCCUUGGCUCAUGUGGACCGACCCUAACCGGCAGUGGGUGGGCUCCGCCCUACCCUAUGACGAGGUGGACAUGGCGCUGUUCAGGGCUUCCACCACCAUCGCACUGGGGAACGGCCGGAAAUCUUUGUUCUGGCAUGACGACUGGACGGGAAAGGGCCCUCUGUGAUUGCUUGCCCUCGAGCUUUACACCAUCGCCACGAGAAAGCAGAGAUCGGUCAUGAAAGAGUUUCAGGACAAUAACUGGAUCAGAUCAGUAGCCAGACUGAGCACACCAACACAGCUGCAGGAGUUCAUUACGCUGGCAACUCUGGCUUCGCAAACCAUGCUGACCCCAGACCGCGAAGACACCAUCUCUUGGCGUUGGACCCCAAACGGCACCUACUCCUCUGCCUCAGCCUACACGGCCCAGUUCUGUGGAUCCUUCCCCAGGUUCACGCCGUCCAAGAUUUGGGAGGCCCAUGCAGAACCAAAGUGCAAACUCUUCUCCUGGCUGGUCCUCCAUGGAAAAAUCCUAACGGCAGACAUGCUAGCUAUUCGUGGCUGGCCACAUGACCCUAUUUGUCCUCUCUGCCUACGGGCACCGGAAACUGCUAACCACUUGUGCAAGGACUGUCCGUUCGCGGUGGCGGUUUGGUCGCAUGUACAACGAUGGACUAGGGACGCGCCGGCGGCCCCGAUGGCAACACCGCCUGCCAUGAGUAUCUCUGAAUGA
rnacentral:rRNA from 1 species